AUACGAAGGGGGCAAGCGUUGUUCGGAAUAACUGGGCGUAAAGCGCACGUAGGCGGAAUGUUAAGUUAGAGGUGAAAUCCCAGGGCUCAACCCUGGAACUGCCUUUAAUACUGGCAAUCUAGAGACCGAGAGAGGUGAGUGGAAUUCCGAGUGUAGAGGUGAAAUUCGUAGAUAUUCGGAGGAACACCAGUGGCGAAGGCGGCUCACUGGCUCGGUACUGACGCUGAGGUACGAAAGUGUGGGGAGCAAACAGGAUUAGAUACCCCGGUAGUCC
rnacentral:rRNA from 1 species